AUGAUUGCAAUUUGGGAGGACGGGGAAAGAGAAGAGUGUUGAUGUGUAUCAAAUAUAGUUGUUGAGAGUACUUCACUGCUCCGUACACUUGCUGGAGUUAGAAUCAAGACCUGACAGGGAGGUAUGGGAUCUGUUAAGAACGUCUCGUUUUCCAACAUUCAAGUCAUUGACGUGAAAGUGCCCAUAAUAAUCGACCAGAACUACUGCGACAAGCACGUGCAAGAAUCAAACGAUGGAGGUGGCGAUUUCCUGCGUUAAAUACGACCGAAUUAUCGGAACGUACACAUCGCAACCGGUCCAUCUGGCUUGUAGCAAUGCGAUCCCCUGCACCAACGUAGAUCUCAUCGAUAUUCAGUUGAAACCGUCGUUUCGAGGUUUCCAUCAGGCAAUGUGUUGGCACUCUUAUGGGAAUUCACAGGGACCUCUGUUUCCUUCAAGCAUCGACUCUUGCUUACUAAGGGACCGUGGUUACGUCAAGAGAAUAGCUCGGUAUCGUGAACAUGUUUGUUUAUAGGCAUUGUGUGGGUUUUGUUCAAUGUGUUGCUUGGCUUGUGUGCUUGGUUGAUGCUUCCCCUUCUGCUAAUUUUAGAGUGCGGGAAGGCGAGGCUUUUGUGAAAGUUCGGUUUGCUUUAGCAAUGUAGUGUAAUUUAUUUGGUGUU